UAUAGCUUAAUGCAAGCACCCCGCUUACACCGGACAGAUCUCUGUAAAACCCAGAUUAUUGUGAGCUAACUUUCUAGCCCUAAAUUUUUCCCAUGCUACCCCUUACAACCUCACACAUCAAUCAAAACAUUUUAAUGAUUUAGUAAAGGAGAUUGAAAAUCCUCUAGGAGCCAUAAAAAAGUACCGCAAGGGAAUGAUGAAAUAAAAAUGAAAUAAAUCUCAAGCAAAAAAUAGUAGAGAAAAGCCCUCGUACCUUUUGCAUCAUGAUUUAACUAGUCUAACCAGGCAAAAAGACUUUCAGUUUGACCCCCCGAAACUAAACGAGCUACUUUAAGGCAGCUUACUGAGCUAACCCGUCUCUGUUGCAAAAGAGUGGGAUGACCCCUAAGUAGAGGUGACAGACCUACCGAGUUUAGUGAUAGCUGGUUGCUUAAGAAAAGGACUUAAGUCCACACUUAAUUGACUUUUAUACAAAAAGAUUACUUUCAAUUCAGAUUUAUUCAAAUAAGGUACAGCCUAUUUGACAAAGGACACAACCUCCCCAUAUGGGUAAUAAACGCAAUUUUUAUAACUAAGUGGGCCUAAAAGCAGCCACCUUAAUAAACAGCGUCAUAGCUUAAUUAUAAACAAGCCAAAUUAUUUCCAUUAUAUAAAACCCUACUCUACUAUUAAGCAAUUUCAUACCCCUAUGAAAAAUUUUAUGUUAAAACUAGUAACAAGAAGUCACACUUCUCUUUUAUGCAAACUUACAUCAGACUGGAUCAACCACUGAUAAAUAACACUUAUAAUUUCAAGUAGUAACCAAACAAGAAAACCCUACUUCCCCUGGUGUUAACCUAACACAAGAGCAUUACAAGAAAGAUUAAAAGAAAAAGAAGGAACUCGGCAAAUAUUGACCCCGCCUGUUUACCAAAAACAUCGCCUCUUGUCCUACAUAAGAGGUCCAGCCUGCCCAGUGACAUUGUUCAACGGCCGCGGUAUCCUAACCGUGCGAAGGUAGCGUAAUCACUUGUUCUUUAAAUGAGGACUAGUAUGAAAGGCACCACGAGAGUCAUGCUGUCUCCUCUUUCUAAUCAGUAAAACUAAUCUCCCCGUGAAGAAGCGGGGAUAAAAAUAUAAGACGAGAAGACCCUAUGGAGCUUUAAACAAAUAACACUUGCCUAUUUCCAUUAAAUUUCAGAAAAACCAUUUACUCUGGCAUUAUAAUUAUAAGUUUUCGGUUGGGGUGACCACGGAGUAAAAAAUAACCUCCGCAAUGAAAUUACUCCAAAGUUAAGGACUACAAUCCUAUACAUCAACAAAUUGACAUCAUUGACCCAACAUGUUGAUCAAUGAACCA
rnacentral:rRNA from 1 species